rnacentral:rRNA from 1 species
AUUGAACGCUGGCGGCAGGCCUAACACAUGCAAGUCGAACGAGUGGCGGACGGGUGAGUAAUAUCUGGGAAACUGCCUGAUGGAGGGGGAUAACUACUGGAAACGGUGGCUAAUACCGCAUACCAUCAGAUGUGCCGAGAUGGGAUUAGCUAGUUGGUGGGGUAACGGCUCACCAAGGCAACGAUCCCUAGCUGGUCUGAGAGGAUGACCAGCCACACUGGAACUGAGACACGGUCCAGACUCCUACGGGAGGCAGCAGUGGGGAAUAUUGCACAAUGGGCGAAAGCCUGAUGCAGCCAUGCCGCGUGUAUGAUGAAGGCCUUCGGGUUGUAAAGUACUUUCGGCGGGGAGGCGUUAUCCGCAGAAGAAGCACCGGCUAACUCCGUGCCAGCAGCCGCGGUAAUAC